GCGGUCAUGGCGAAAUUGGUAGACGCGCAACCUUGAGGUGGUUGUGGGCUAAGCCCAUGGAAGUUCGAGUCUUCUUGACCGCACCA
rnacentral:tRNA from 1 species